rnacentral:rRNA from 1 species
UCGGGAAUUUUGCCCAAUGAGCGAAAGCUUGAGGCAGCAACUCCGCGUGAGGGACGAAGGCCUUCGGGUUGUAAACCUCUUUUCUCAGGGAAGAUACAAGACGGUACCUGAGGAAUAAGCCACGGCUAACUACGUGCCAGCAGCCGCGGUAAUACGUAGGUGGCAAGCGUUGUCCGGAUUUACUGGGCGUAAAGAGCGCGCAGGCGGCUGGGUCAGUCCGAUGUGAAAGCUUCCGGCUUAACUGGGAAAUUGCAUCGGAAACUGCUCGGCUUGAAGGUGGGAGAGGGUAGCGGAAUUCCCGGUGUAGUGGUGAAAUGCGUAGAUAUCGGGAGGAACACCAGUGGCGAAGGCGGCUACCUGGCCCAUUCUUGACGCUGAGGCGCGAAAGCUAGGGGAGCAAACGGG